GAGAGUUUGGCCGAGUGGUUUAAGGCGUCAGAUUUAGGUUAUUCUCCUAAAAUCUCUGAUAUCUACGGAUUCGCGGGUUCGAAUCCCGUAGCUCUCA
rnacentral:tRNA from 1 species